UAUACAUGGGCACUUGAUUUAUGAAAAAAGUGCCACUUGGUGCAGUGGGGCAAGGACAGUCAUUUUAGUUAACAGAGUCUGGAGGCAGGGCGAUUUCCAUAUGGGAAAAAAAAGUAGAUCUUGCAUCUCCACCUCACACAAAAAAUCAAUUCCAGGUGGAUAUGGACUUGGGUGUGGAAAAAAAGUACAGUAGAGUGUCUUCGAAACUGAGAUACGGCAAAGAUUCACCAAACAGGACAUAAAGUAACUAACUGUAAUAGAAAAGACUAAUCGACUGAUUUCAUGAACAUUAAGAACUUGUGCUCAUCAACUGACACCAUGAAGAGAGAGACUAGGCAGGGGCCCUGCGUGGCUCAGUCGCACACAGACUGUUUCACUC